GGAAUAUUGGACAAUGGGGGAAACCCUGAUCCAGCGACGCCGCGUGGGUGAAGAAGGCCUGCGGGUUGUAAAGCCCUUUCGGUGGGGAAGAAAAGCCUCGAUCUAAUACGUCGGGGUCUUGCCGUAACCCCCCAAAGCAGCACCGGCUCACUCGGUGCCAGCAGCCGCGGUAAUACAGAGGGUGCGAGCGUUAAUCUGAAUUACUGGGCGUAAAGCGCACGUAGGCGGCUUUGCAAGUCGGGUGUGAAAUCCCCGGGCUCAACCUGGGAACUGCAUUCGAUACUGCAUUGCUGGAGUAUGGGAGAGGGAAGUGGAAUUUCCGGUGUAGCGGUGAAAUGCGUAGAUAUCGGAAGGAACACCAGUGGCGAAAGCGACUUCCUGGACCAAUACUGACGCUCAGGUGCGAAAGCGUGGGGAGCAAA
rnacentral:rRNA from 1 species